rnacentral:rRNA from 1 species
GAUGAACGCUGGCGGCGUGCUUAACACAUGCAAGUCGAACGAAGUAUAUUGGAACGAGUUCUUCGGAACAAAUGAAUUUAUACUUAGUGGCGGACGGGUGAGUAACGCGUGGAUAACCUGCCUUACACUGGGGGACAACAGUUAGAAAUGACUGCUAAUACCGCAUAAGCGCACAGUACCGCAUGGUACGGUGUGAAAAACUCCGGUGGUGUAAGAUGGAUCCGCGUCUGAUUAGCUAGUUGGUGAGGUAAUGGCUCACCAAGGCGACGAUCAGUAGCCGGCCUGGGAGGGUGAGCGGCCACAUUGGGACUGAGACACGGCCCAGACUCCUACGGGAGGCAGCAGUGGGGAAUAUUGCACAAUGGGCGAAAGCCUGAUGCAGCGACGCCGCGUGAGCGAAGAAGUAUUUCGGUAUGUAAACUCCUGUCAGGGGUUAGGAAUUUUGACCAGCCCCAGAGGAGGCACCGGCUAACUCCGUGCCAGCAGCCGCCGUAAUAC